UCAGCUCAGAGCUUCAUGUAUGCCUCAGCUUAAACAGACGACAAUGUGCAUUUCCGAUCUUGGAGAGUUGUAUGUAGUAGCCCUGGUG